AUUGAACGCUGGCGGCAGGCUUAACACAUGCAAGUCGAGCGGAGAUGAGGUGCUUGCACCUUAUCUUAGCGGCGGACGGGUGAGUAAUGCUUAGGAAUCUGCCUAUUAGUGGGGGACAACAUUCCGAAAGGAAUGCUAAUACCGCAUACGUCCUACGGGAGAAAGCAGGGGACCUUCGGGCCUUGCGCUAAUAGAUGAGCCUAAGUCGGAUUAGCUAGUUGGUGGGGUAAAGGCCUACCAAGGCGACGAUCUGUAGCGGGUCUGAGAGGAUGAUCAGCCACACUGGGACUGAGACACGGCCCAGACUCCUACGGGAGGCAGCAGUGGGGAAUAUUGGACAAUGGGCGGAAGCCUGAUCCAGCCAUGCCGCGUGUGUGAAGAAGGCCUUUUGGUUGUAAAGCACUUUAAGCGAGGAGGAGGCUACUAGUACUAAUACUACUGGAUAGUGGACGUUACUCGCAGAAUAAGCACCGGCUAACUCUGUGCCAGCAGCCGCAGUAAUAC
rnacentral:rRNA from 1 species